UUCCAGACUCCUACGGGAGGCAGCAGUAGGGAAUCUUUCACAAUGGGCGAAAGCCUGAUGGAGCAACGCCGCGUGCAGGAUGAAGGCCUUCGGGUUGUAAACUGCUUUUAUAAGCGAGAAAUAUGAUGGUAACUUAUGAAUAAGCACCGGCUAACUCCGUGCCAGCAGCCGCGGUAAUACGGAGGGUGCAAGCGUUACUCGGAAUCACUGGGCGUAAAGAGCGCGUAGGCGGGAUAGCAAGUCAGAUGUGAAAUCCUAUGGCUUAACCAUAGAACUGCAUUUGAAGCUGUUAUUCUAGAGUAUGGGAGAGGUAGGUGGAAUUCUUGGUGUAGGGGUAAAAUCCGUAGAGAUCAAGAGGAAUACUCAUUGCGAAGGCGACCUGCUAGAACAUAACUGACGCUGAUGCGCGAAAGCGUGGGGAGCAAACAGGAUUAGAUACCCGUGUAA
rnacentral:rRNA from 1 species